rnacentral:rRNA from 1 species
AACGAACGCUGGCGGCAGGCUUAACACAUGCAAGUCGAACGCACCGCAAGGUGAGUGGCAGACGGGUGAGUAACACGUGGGGAUCUGCCCAAUGGUACGGAAUAGCUCCGGGAAACUGGAAUUAAUACCGUAUGUGCCCUUCGGGGGAAAGAUUUAUCGCCAUUGGGAUGAACCCGCGUCGGAUUAGCUAGUUGGUGAGGUAAAGGCUCACCAAGGCGACGAUCCGUAGCUGGUCUGAGAGGAUGAUCAGCCACACUGGGACUGAGACACGGCCCAGACGCCUCCGGGAGGCAGCAGUGGGGAAUAUUGGACAAUGGGCGCAAGCCUGAUCCAGCCAUGCCGCGUGAGUGAUGAAGGCCUUAGGGUUGUAAAGCUCUUUCGCCGACGAAGAUAAUGACGGUAGUCGGAGAAGAAGCCCAGGCUAACUUCGUGCCAGCAGCCGCCGUAA